UAAAAAGCAAUGAGAGGAAUUCUAGUAGCGGUUAUCUCCCUAUUUCAGAGAGUCGGCGGGUGGUGUGAGUCGAUAUACAGAUAAUGCGAAAUACAGUCCUUGAGCUUUCUUUGCCUGAUAAAAAAGCAAAGAACGGAAGAACCGUUAAUCAUGAAGUGGAAGAAUACUUGUAUUCUUCAAUAAGGGUGGUACCGCGUGUCAACAACAACCACGUCCCUUUU
rnacentral:ncRNA from 1 species